UGGUUUUGGAAACUCUGCCUGGAUAAAUUA
rnacentral:piRNA from 1 species